ACUCCUACGGGAGGCAGCAGUGGGGAAUAUUGGACAAUGGGCGAAAGCCUGAUCCAGCAAUGCCGCGUGAGUGAUGAAGGCCUUAGGGUUGUAAAGCUCUUUUACCAGGGAUGAUAAUGACAGUACCUGGAGAAUAAGCUCCGGCUAACUCCGUGCCAGCAGCCGCGGUAAUACGGAGGGAGCUAGCGUUGUUCGGAAUUACUGGGCGUAAAGCGCGCGUAGGCGGCCUAUCAAGUCAGGGGUGAAAUCCCGGGGCUCAACCCCGGAACUGCCCUUGAAACUGGUAAGCUAGAAUCCUGGAGAGGCGAGUGGAAUUCCGAGUGUAGAGGUGAAAUUCGUAGAUAUUCGGAAGAACACCAGUGGCGAAGGCGACUCGCUGGACAGGUAUUGACGCUGAGGUGCGAAAGCGUGGGAGCAAACAGGAUUAGAUACCCUGGUAGCGACUGA
rnacentral:rRNA from 1 species